GAUGAAGAACGUAGCGAAAUGCGAUAAGUAAUGUGAAUUGCAGAAUUCAGUGAAUCAUCGAAUCUUUGAACGCACCUUGCGCCCUUUGGCUAUUCCGAAGGGCAUGCCUGUUUGAGUAUCAUGAACACCUCAACUCUUCACGGCUUGCCGUGAUGAGUUUGGACUUUGGGGGUCUUGCUGGCCUACGAGCCAGCUCCUCUCAAAUGUAUUAGCUUGCCGGUGUUUGGUGGCAUCACAGGAGUGAUAACUAUCUACGCUUGUGGUUUUCCACUAGGUAACCUUCAGCAAUGGAGGUUCACCGGAGCUCACAAAUGUCUCUCCUUGCCAAGGACAGAUUUUGACCAUUUGAUCUCAAAUCAGGUAGGACUACCCGCUGAACUUAAGCAUAUCAAUAAGCGGAGGA
rnacentral:misc_RNA from 1 species